AUUUGCCCCCUUACUGAUUUUGAUAUGAGCCUGCCAGAUCUUGUCUGAUCUUAGAAGCUCAGCUGGGCCAGGCCUGAUUAGUUGUUGGAUGAGAGAUUGCCUGGGAAUACCAGGUGCUGCAAGCU
rnacentral:rRNA from 1 species